UUGUUACACCCUUCGUUCCAAAAUUCUUGUCUUAGAUUUGUCCAAAUACGGAUGUAUCUAGUUACGUUUUAGUAUUAGAUACAUCCGUAUCUAGAUAAAUUUAAGACAAAAAUUUUGUGACGGAGGGAGUACUUC
rfam:Triticum aestivum genome assembly, contig: Triticum_aestivum_CS42_TGACv1_scaffold_252357_3DL